CCUACGGGAGGCAGCAGUGAGGAAUAUUGGUCAAUGGCCGGAAGGCUGAACCAGCCAAGCCGCGUGAAGGACGAAGGUGCCAAGCAUUGUAAACUUCUUUUGUCAAGGGACAAAAUCAGGCUCGAGAGCCUGACCGUGGGUACUUGAAGAAAAAGCAUCGGCUAACUCCGUACCAGCAGCCGCGGUACUACGGAGGAUGCGAGCGUUAUCCGGAUUUAUUGGGUUAAAAGGGUGCGUAGGCGGGCUGUUAAGUCAGCGGUAAAAGCCCGGGGCUCAACCCCGGCGAGCCGUUGAAACUGGCUGUCUUGAGAUGUCGAGAGGUAUGCGGAAUGCGCAGUGUAGCGGUGAAAUGCUUAGAUAUUGCGCAGAACUCCGAUUGCGAAGGCAGCAUACCGGCGGCGAUCUGACGCUGAGGCACGAAAGCGUGGGUAUCGAACAGGAUUAGAUACCCCAGUAGUC
rnacentral:rRNA from 1 species